GCACCCGUAGUUCAACGGAUAGAAUACGGGCCUCCGGAGCCCGGGAUCUAGGUUCGAUUCCUAGCGGGUGCA
rnacentral:tRNA from 1 species